ACACAGCCAACAAAAUAGAAAAGGAGGAAAAUGAAAUCUAAAUUUUGAUUGAAGAGCAAUGAGAGGGAGAUGAAAGGCUGCGUCGUUUUCUUGUCUAAGGUGUUCCUUGCGCGUAGGUGUCGUGGGUGCACGAUUUUAGGGGCUUGUUUGAUUUUGAAGUUUGCAGAACAGAAGGCACCGCGCCAUCGGAUUAGCCUCUCAUAUCUCCUCCAUCUUUUAACAUGUCACCAAUAGCAGCAUGACACAUGGAGUAUAAGAGAGAGAGAGUAGAUUUAGCAUGACCCUAAUCUCUUUCCUUGAUCGAUUCCAAUCAUGUUUAAUGUUUUGUAUGUAAUCUUUUAGCGAACCAAAAUCUACACUAACUUGAUUUCUCUUCUAACCUGUAUCUUUGGGUUGACUCCUUGUUGGCUCAUGGCUUGACUGCAAAUUGCCAACCAUAAGGGUUUUCCUUUUUAUAAUAAACGAGCGUAAGUCCAAAGCCAUGAUCAUAAUUAACGAAUCAAUCCGCACAGCAGCUGCCUUCAUUAAAUGUAAUGACAAAUGCGUACUUUCCAAUCAUGUCCACAGGAACACAUUCAGUGUAAGGCUUUAAGCCCAUACACUCCAUUAUGCUGAUGGGUGAUUCACAAUUCAUCCAAAGCGGAAAUACGGCAUUUGCCUACCCUGCUUGCUCGUCAUGAAUCGAUAUGACUCAAUACAGGUGCUGGAGGAUGAAGAGUUUAUCCCGCUCUGUUUUUCAUCAUAAACAUUUUUGAUGAACAACACUUCAAUACUAUUUUGUUCGUCUUUUGUAUCA